rnacentral:misc_RNA from 1 species
AGUUUAAUUAUUACCAAAUACCCUACUGUUAAUUUGUAUCUUUUUGGUUAGUUAUGUAACAAAGCAUAAGUUUAGCCCGGUCAUAGGAAAAUUCAAUGGUAUAAAUUGAUUUUAAAAUAAAUUAAAUGAAAGUAAAGAUAAAAAAAAUAGAGAUUUUAUAUAUUUUGAAAAUUUGAAUAACUUUUUUUUUUUUUUUAAUUUUAUACAUUUAUUAUUUUUGAAAUAUAAUUUUAUUCUGAUUUUUGUAUAUCAAUAUAUUAUUGCAUUUUGUAAAUAUAAUCAUUGCAUGAACGGAAACAGGAAUUGAACGAGAAUAUCCGUCUGAGUGUGAAUGAUAAAGCGUUUUUAUGAAUAUAACUUUAAUUAUAAAUGUUAUAAAAUAUU